GGCGGGCACCGGCAGCAGCGGCGUGGGACAGCCAUGGGCCGCAAGAAGAACAAGAAGGGUCCGGGCGGCCGCGAGGGGCGGCUGGUGGUGACUUUCGACGAGGAGCGGCGGAGGGAGUACCUGACCGGCUUCCACAAGCGGAAGGUGGAGCGGAGGAAGGCGGCGCUGGAGGAGAUCAAACGGAAGCUGAAGGAAGAGCAGAGGAAAAUGAAAGAGGAGCGGCACCAGGAGUAUCUGAAGAUGCUGAGCGAGAGGGAGGAGGCGCUCGAGGAGGCUGAUGAACUGGAGCACUUGGUGACAUCGCGGACAGAGUCUGUGAGCAUCGACCACCCAAACCACAUUGUAACAGUGACCACCAUCAGUGACCUGGACCUGUCGGGGGCACGCCAGCUGGGACUGACCAGCCCCGUGGGAAAAACUGAUGGAUCUGAAGAAGAGAAAGGAGAAGAGGUGGUGAACAAGCCCGUGAGAACAAUGCCCAAGAAGUCCAGAAACCCCUUCCUUUCUGAAAAAAUCUCUUCUCUUACUGCCACGCUGCACAUGCACAGCCGGAAAAAGACAAAAGGAAAGAGAUCCCAACGUGGGCAAGGCCCACGUAAGAAAAUCCAGAAGUCCAGCACAGGGCGAACCACCAAAACUCAGCGUCGGAGGCUGACUGGAAAAAUGGGCCGUGACCAAGAUUAACAGAGAAACUAAUGUUCAGACCACCAGCUGGGACAGUGCUCCACAUCUGGGCUGCUGCUCUUCAGGACCCUGUCAUUGUGGGCAGGCAUCUUGUUUACAUGGCAUUCUGACUGGCCACGAACCCAGUUCAGCCUUUCUAUAGCCUUCUGAGCACUGGUCAAGGACACAGUGCCUUGUGGGGUGACCGUGGACAGAAGGUGACCUGCCUGCUUCCUUACCCAAGGAGUUUGCUCUGGAGCUGGGAUGGCCACUGUAAAAGAAGUGUACUAUCUGUUUGAGAAAUCUGCUGGAGAGUGGAGUGUGGAAUAUGGAUCAGUUGGCUUCUCCAGCCUGUAGGCAGCCUGGCAUGGUAGCUGGGACAGAGCUGGAUGACCUAAUUGUUCUCCGGAUGAGGUGUUAAGGGUUCAGUUUUUAUCAUUUUGCUGCCAGGUGAUCUGGAAGAAUCUCACUUUUAAGUGUUUGCUGUUUCCCUGGCCUAAUAACAUUUUGUAGCCUUUCUCAAGUAUCAGCUGAAGUCUCCAACAGCCCCUUCCAUGCUCUGAAAUCUUUCAGCUCCUGCUAGAAAAUGAGUUUUCAAAAUAAAAAAAAAAACAAAACAGAAACAAACCAAAGAAGUGUAU